rnacentral:rRNA from 1 species
AUACGGAGGGUGCAAGCGUUGUUCGGAAUCACUGGGCGUAAAGGGCGCGCAGGCGGUUUGGUAAGUCAGAUGUGAAAGCCCACGGCUCAACCGUGGAAGUGCAUUUGAAACUGUCAGACUUGAGUACUAGAGGGGAAAGUGGAAUUCCCGGUGUAGAGGUGAAAUUCGUAGAUAUCGGGAGGAAUACCGGUGGCGAAGGCGACUUUCUGGCUAGAUACUGACGCUGAGGCGCGAAAGCGUGGGGAGCAAACAGGAUUAGAUACCCAAGUAGUCC